GGCACCGUGGUGUAGUGGUUAUCACGCUUGUCUCACACACAAGAGGUCCCCGGUUCGAGCCCGGGCGGCGUCA